GCCCGAGAGCCCCACACGGUAGUAAUUACUCAAAUAUAAUGAAAAUUAGUUAAACUCUGAAUGGUCUACGGGGGAGACGGUUUUUCAGCAAGAAAUCAGUGGAAACAACCCAUUCGAGAUGGAUAAUGAAUUUCAAUUUAUAAUUUGGUGGUCACUGGCGUUAGCUGCCAUCGUUGUUUUGGUCUUCGCUUACUGGUAUUGGUGCAUAUGGCUGAAAAGUGGAGCACAGCAAAAACGUAAUCGAAAACCAACGUUGACGUGCGAUGAAACCGAAGAAGCUUAUAACGAAUUACUGUGUGACUAAAUUUGCUUUAAAAAGAGGCCUUUAAUGUGUUAAAAUAUAUCAAAGACUUAUGAGUAAGCGUAUUAUGGAAUUAAAAAAAAUUAUAUCAAAUUAACAAA